UACAGAGGAUGCGAGCAUUAAUCGGAAUUACUGGGCGUAAAGCGCGCGUAGACGGCUUUGCAAGUCGGGUGUGAAAUCCCCAGACUCAACCUGGGAACUGCAUUCGAGACUGCAUUGCUAGAGUAUGGGAGAGGGAAGUGGAAUUUCCGGUGUAGCGAUGAAAUGCGUAAAUAUCGGAAGGAACAUCAGUGACGAAAGCGACUUCCUGGACCAAUACUGACGCUCAUAUACGAAAGCGUAGGAAGCAAACAGG
rnacentral:rRNA from 1 species